GAUGAACGCUGGCGGCGUGCCUAAUACAUGCAAGUCGAGCGAACAGACGAGGAGCUUGCUCCUCUGACGUUAGCGGCGGACGGGUGAGUAACACGUGGAUAACCUACCUAUAAGACUGGGAUAACUUCGGGAAACCGGAGCUAAUACCGGAUAAUAUAUUGAACCGCAUGGUUCAAUAGUGAAAGACGGUUUUGCUGUCACUUAUAGAUGGAUCCGCGCCGCAUUAGCUAGUUGGUAAGGUAACGGCUUACCAAGGCAACGAUGCGUAGCCGACCUGAGAGGGUGAUCGGCCACACUGGAACUGGGACACGGUCCAGACUCCUACGGGAGGCAGCAGUAGGGAAUCUGCCGCAAUGGGCGAAAGCCUGACGGAGCAACGCCGCGUGAGUGAUGAAGGUCUUCGGAUCGUAAAACUCUGUUAUUAGGGAAGAACAAAUGUGUAAGUAACUAUGCACGUCUUGACGGUACCUAAUCAGAAAGCCACGGCUAACUACGUG
rnacentral:rRNA from 1 species